UAGGAAGCCACAGUCUACACUAAC
rnacentral:piRNA from 1 species